CGGCGGUUUUCGUUUACAUGAUUAAUUACCUCAUGUCUAUGUCCACCCAAAUCUUCUCCGGCCACCUCGGAAACCUCGAACUCGCCGCUUCCUCUCUCGGCAACAAUGGCAUUCAAAUCUUCGCCUACGGUCUCAUGUUGGGGAUGGGAAGUGCGGUGGAAACUCUAUGCGGGCAGGCAUACGGUGCAGAGAAGAACGAUAUGCUUGGGAUUUAUUUACAGAGAUCAGCCAUAUUAUUGACUCUAACAGGGUUUGUGUUAACAGUUGUUUACAUAUUUUGCAAACCCAUCUUGAUAUUUUUGGGAGAAUCCAAGGAAAUUGCUUCGGCAGCGGAAAUAUUCGUGUACGGAUUGAUUCCUCAAAUAUUCGCGUACGCAAUAAACUUCCCAAUCCAGAAGUUUCUUCAGGCACAGAGCAUAGUGUUUCCGAGUGCUUACAUAUCGGCGGGGACGCUGGUGGUUCACGUGGUGCUGAGUUGGGUGGUGGCUUACAAAAUGGGGUUGGGGCUAUUGGGAGUGGCGUUGGUAUUGAGCUUGUCGUGGUGGAUAAUAGUGGUGGGGCAAUUUGUGUAUAUAGUUAAGAGUGAAAAGUGUAAACAAACAUGGAGAGGGUUUAGCGCGAAGGCGUUUUCGGGCUUGCCGGGAUUUUUCAAGUUGUCGGUGGCGUCGGCGGUGAUGCUGUGUUUAGAGACUUGGUAUUUCCAGAUUUUGGUGUUGCUUGCUGGAUUGCUCGAGAAUCCUGAACUUGCUCUCGACUCCCUUUCUAUAUGUACAACAAUAUCUGGAUGGGUUUUUAUGAUUUCAGUUGGCUUCAAUGCUGCCGCAAGUGUGAGAGUGAG
rnacentral:misc_RNA from 1 species